CCUACGGGUGGCAGCAGUGGGGGAUAUUGCACAAUGGGGGAAACCCUGAUCCAGCGACGCCGCGUGUGGGAAGACGGUCCUCUGGAUUGUAAACCACUGUUCCCAGGGACGAAGAUGACGGUACCUGGGGAGGAAGCUCCGGCUAACUACGUGCCAGCAGCCGCGGUACUACGUAGGGAGCGAGCGUUGUCCGGAAUUACUGGGUGUAAAGGGAGCGUAGGCGGGACUGCAAGUUGGGUGUAAAAUCUACCGGCUCAACCGGUAGCCGCACUCAAAACUGCAGUUCUUGAGUGAAGUAGAGGCAGGCGGAAUGCCUAGUGUAGCGGUGAAAUGCGUAGAUAUUAGGAGGAACACCAGUGGCGAAGGCGGCCUGCUGGGCUUUUACUGACGCUGAGGCUCGAAAGUGUGGGGAGCAAACAGGAUUAGAUACCCCAGUAGUC
rnacentral:rRNA from 1 species